rnacentral:rRNA from 1 species
CACGUAGUUAGCCGGGGCUUCUUAGUCAGGUGCCGUCAUUUUUUCUUCCCUGCUGAUAGAGCUUUACAUACCGAAAUACUUCUUCACUCACGCGGCGUCGCUGGAUCAGGGUUUCCCCCAUUGUCCAAUAUUCCCCACUGCUGCCUCCCGUAGGAGUUUGGGCCGCGUCUCAGUCCCAAUGUGGCCGUCCACCCUCUCAGGCCGGCUACUGAUCGUCGCCUUGGUGGGCCGUUACCUCACCAACCAGCUAAUCAGACGCGGGUCCAUCAUAUACCACCGUAGUUUUUCACACUGUCUCAUGCAAUACUGUGCGCUUAUGCGGUAUUAGCACCUAUUUCUAAGUGUUAUCCCCCUGUAUAUGGCAGGUUACCCACGCGUUACUCACCCGUCCGCCACUAAGUCAUCAACAUUUCCACUCUUAGCAAGCUAAUUGCUUCAAAAAUGAUGACUCCGUUCGACUUGCAUGUGUUAAGCACGCCGCCAGCGUUCAU